rnacentral:rRNA from 1 species
AAGUCGUAACAAGGUUUCCGUAGGUGAACCUGCGGAAGGAUCAUUACAGAGAGAAAAGCUAGGAAAGGGGUGCUCAAAAAAAGGGAACCCCGUCGGGGACUCUCCCCAAAAAGGGGAAGCGUCCAGCCCGACCCGGCUAGACCCACACACACACCUGUGCACUCGAUUUUUACACACGCCACGUACCGAAGCAUGUCUGUCGAAGCUCCAAGGAGCUGAAACUUGUUACAACUUUCAACAACGGAUCUCUUGGCUUUCGCAUCGAUGAAGAACGCGGCUAAAGCGCGAAACGUAGUGUGAAUUGCAGAAUUCAGUGAAUCAUCGAAUCUUUGAACGCAACUUGCGCUCCUUGGCAUUCCGAGGAGCACGCCUGUUUGAGUGUCGUGAAGUACUCUCGACCUCGUGCGUUGGCCUUUGUGUUGGCCGGCGCUCGGGAUCGGAUUUGGACGUUGCUGCCCCCCUCGCUGGCCGAGAGGCUGCGGCUCGUCUCGAAAUGCGUGCAGCCGUCCCUUCCACGUUUUGACGCCGGUGUGAUAAGAAAACUGUCGCUCGCGUCGUGUCGUGGAAGGUUCGCGACGGCCUCUAACAAACCCCUAUUGUCGCCUUUGACCUCAAAUCAGGUGGGACUACCCGCUGAACUUAA